rnacentral:rRNA from 1 species
GAUGAACGCUGGCGGCGUGCCUAAGACAUGCAAGUCGAGUGGGUUUAGACCCACGGCGAACGGGUGAGUAAUACAUAGGAAUUUUCUUUAAGUUGAGGAUAUCCUCCCGAAAGGGAGUGCAAUACUCAAUGUGAACGCAAGUUUAAAGUCGCAAGACGCUUAAAUGUGAAGCCUGUGCACCAUCAGCUAGUUGGUAAGGUAAAGCUUACCAAGGCUAUGACGGUUACCGGCCCGAGAGGGUGAUCCGGCACACUGGGACUGCGACACGGCCCAGACUCCUACGGGAGGCAGCAGUUUGGAAUUUUGGUC